AGGAAAACAUUUAUUUCCAAAGGAAAGUAAACGUAGAAAGCAAUGGGAAUCUGCGUUACGUAUAAAAACUUCGAAGCUAGUAGCACAGCACGAUUGUGUGUUGCGCAUUUUACAGAAAAAGAUUAUUACGGGAAAAUCAAUUAUACAGGUUAUGAGCUCCUUGCAAAAUUUCUUAAAAAGACAGCUGUGCUAUCUGUGUUCUUCUUAACGAAGAUAAAACCAGAAAAUCCAGCUGUUGUGGCACAUCAACAACGUAUUGAACGAAGAAGUCAGUCGAGUAACAAAUGUAGAUGAUUCACAACCAUCAAGUAGCAAAGUUAACCUAAUAAGUGACAGACAAUUUACUGGAAGUUGAUCAUGAAGAAGCAGUCAAAACAGAAGACAACAGUGCAGUAGGAUGUACAUAUAUUAUGCAUGAAUUUAUAUCUAAGGGCACUCAAGUUGAUCAAGAACACAAAUAUGGGUUUAUGAAUAGAUAUAAAGAUGAUAAUGCCACUAUUAAGUUUUACACAGGUUUUGAAUCAUAUAAAAAAUUUAAUUUAGUCUACUCAGCUCUUAGUCCAGUGGUUCACAAAAUAAAAUAUUAUGGCAGCAAUGUGAUUAUUCUUAGCAGUGAUUCUAAUUCUAAUUUAUUAGUUGGUGCAAUACCUGGUAGCUUGCUGUUAUAUUGUUCUCAAGCAUUUGCAGGAUUGAUAAGUGAUCAGUAGGCAGUGGAACAAAGUGACCUUUUAGCAAAAUGUGAAAGUGGUAGUAUAUACUGACUGACAGAGGAUUUAUGAUACAAUAUAUAUUUCAUCAGACAAAAAUGUGACCAUUAGGAUUCCCAGUUUCUUAAAAGAAAAAUUUCAGUUGCCUGGUCUUAAUGUAAUAAAAGAUAGGGAGCUUGCAAACAAAGGAGUUCAUAUAGAAAGAAUAAUAGGAUUAACAAAGACAAACAAAAUUUAAAAAUGAAUUAGACCAUAACUAUAUCCCAAUAGUGAGCAAAAUCUUUUUUUAUGUUUUAUGUGCUAAACAUCUACAAUUUCAGGAAUUAUACUAUUACUAUAUUGUGAAAGAUAUUAGAUAAAAAGAUGUAAUUAUUUCAAUUUAUUUAUUAAUUGUAAAUAGUUCUUAUACACAUACUUAUUUACAUUUCUGGUUCUAAAUUAUGUACAUAAAAGUUUAACAAAUUUGUCAACAUGCCAUUAAUAAAUGAGUCAUCUCUA
rnacentral:lncRNA from 1 species